GCUGACAACAGGUCGUCUGGAGAGUUGACUGGUGGACAAAUUGAGCCUCAGGAAACAGCUUCAAGGUCUCAUACCUUCAAAACCAAGUCUUUUAAAAAAUCCAGAACCUGUGGAAUCUGCAAACAAGUAAUUGACAGCCAAGGAAUUUCUUGCAGGGUUUGCAAAUAUGCCUGCCACAGGAAAUGUGAAGAAAAGGUAGUGACACCCUGCUUUUUUCCAGGCAACUACGAGCUGGCUAACUCUGAGGUGGUUAAAAAUCAUGUAACCAGAAGCAAUUGCAGCAGCGCUUUGAAGAAUUCUGCUUCCAGUUGUGACAGAGAAUCACGAAGUGCAGACUUUGAUCACAUUAUGGAAGAAGGCUAUGAACUUGACCUCACUUACAUCACAGAGCGGAUUAUUGCUGUAUCUUUCCCUGCUAGCUGUUCUGAGGAAACUUACCUCCACAAUCUACAAGAUGUAACCCGAAUGCUCAAAUCCAAACAUGGCAGUAAUUACUUGGUAUUAAACCUCUCUGAAAAGAGAUAUGACCUUGCCAAGCUUAAUCCAAAGAUUAUGGAUGUGGGGUGGCCUGAUCUCCAUGCUCCGCUUCUUAAUAAGGUAUGCACCAUCUGCAAGGCUAUGGAGUCAUGGCUGAACAAUGAUCCUCAACAUGUGGUGGUAAUACACUGCAGAGGGGGAAAGGGAAGGAUAGGUGUAGUCAUAUCAUCGUAUAUGCACUUCAUCAAUGUUUCUGCAAGUGCUGAUCAGGCUCUAGACAGAUUUGCUAUGAAGAAAUUCUUUGAUGAUAAAGUUUCAGCUUUAAUGCAACCAUCCCAAAGAAGAUACGUGCAAUUCUUAAGUGGCCUUCUAUCUGGAUCUGUGAAAAUGAAUGCAACCCCUCUUUUCCUGCACUAUGUUAUCCUUCAUGGCAUCCCAAGCUUAGAUGCUGGGGGAGCUUGUCGGCCUUUUCUGAAGUUAUACCAGGCUAUGCAACCAGUUUAUACAUCUGGAAUAUAUAUAGGGUCAGAAAAUCAAAACCGAAUCUGCAUUGCUAUAGACCCUGCCCAGCUUUUGAAGGGAGAUAUUAUGAUUAAGUGUUAUCACAAAAAAUACCGUUCAGCUACUCGUGAUGUGAUUUUUCGCCUUCAGUUUCACACUGGAGCUAUUCAAGGACAUGGCCUGGUGUUUGGCAAAGAAGACUUGGACAAUGCCAACAAAGAUGACCGUUUCCCGGAUUACAGCAAAGUGGAAUUAGUGUUUUCAGGAACUCCAGAAAACAUUCAAGGAUGUGAACACUUUCAGAAUGAUCAUGGAGUAAUAGUUGAUUACAAUACCUCAGGCCCACUAAUACGCUGGGAUUCCUAUGAAAAUAUGAGCCCUGAUGGGGAAGUGCUGCAUACCCAAGGUCCCAUUGAUGGCAGUCUCUAUGCAAAAGUGAGAAAGAAGAGCUCUUCAGACAGCAACAUCCCUGGUGUUGCUCAGGGUGCUCCUGUGACUGGCAGUCCUGAUCACAGUGAUCAUACCCUGUCUGUUGGUAGUGAUUCAGGACACUCCACAGCUUCCAUCAGGACAGACAAGACUGAGGAACACCGUAUGCCAGGAGUCAAAUGUGGUCUGAGCCCACAAGAGAAGGCAGAACUGGACCAGCUCCUUAAUGGCUUUGGUCUGGAGGAUUCUGUGAACACCACCAAGGAUAUGACUGAUGCUCAAAGCAAGUACAGUGGGACUCACCACAUAGUGCCAGCUCAAGUUCACAUGAAUGGAGUCACCAAAGUGAAGGACAGGGAGACUGAUAUUCUGGAUGACGAAAUGCCUAAUCAUGACCUUCACAGUGUGGACAGCAUUGGAACUUUGUCUUCCUCAGAAGGGCAGCACUCCACCCACCUAGGAAACUUUAGUUGUCACAAGAGCAGUCAGAACUCACUGCUUUCAGAUGGCUUUGGAAGUAAUGCUGGGGAAGAGCAUCAUAAUGCUUUUGCUGCAGACCUGGGAAUUGGUGUGGAUCUCCUCUAUGAGAGAUCAUUUGCAAGAACUGAGCCAAAGUCAACUCAGCAAUUGCAACAGAAUCCUUCUGACUCAGCCCGUCCUCAAGCCUAUGGCCCAAGUAACUACUCUACUCAGACCUGGGUGCGCCAGCAGCAGAUGGUCACUGCUCACCAAUAUGGUUUUGCCCCAGAGAAUGAAAUUAGGGUUGGCAUUCAUAACGCUGUGGAGAAUUUGGGCAAUGUCCAGAGCCAAUCUCGAGUCCCAAACACGCCAACACGUGGCUCCAGCAGCAGAGAUGCUGUGCAGAGAGGACUAGGAAGUAUGCUGGGGGCUGCAGAAGCUGAGGAACAUGCAAGUGCUGAGAGUUUUAAGUCAAGGCUAGUGCUUCAGAGGAACACAAAUGGCCUGAAUCUAGGACAGAACGCUGGGGACUUGCCAGCUUCUCCAACUUUGGAUAUUGAUCAGUCCAUUGAACAACUGAACAGGCUCAUCUUGGAGUUAGACCCUACAUUUGAACCUAUCCCAACCCGCAUUAACACUGUCACCAGCGAUGGAAAUCAAGUAAAUGGCUUUGCCAGCCUUGAUGUAAAUGUGCAAGAGUUUGAGAUUAGUCCUGUAGGCCAUGAGAAAUUAGCGGUCACAAACAGGAAUCACUCCCAGCAUGCAACAGGUAUGCGAGAUGAUGGUGCAACAGGGAAAAGGAUGAGAAAGUUAAGUGUUGGGCAGUAUGACAAUGAUGUCCCUGGGCAGCCAUCGUGUAACAGGUGUGGAUGGAUGACGUCUCCUGCUACUGAUGAGGCCAUAAUUCUAGGAUCACCAGUUGCUCUAGAGGAGACCAAGGAGAUGGUUGCUGUAAGUUAUCAAGAUGAAAUAGGUGUAGAAAUCUCCACAACAAAAAACGGAAGUGAAUCUGUCGCAUCCAUGCCAGUUUUUUCCCUGUCACCAGAGAUGACAUAUGUGACAACACCUCCACUAUACCAUCAGCGGAUUCUCUCCAGCCAAAAGGUCAGCAGCCCAUCUGAGCUGUACAGAACCAUUCCUGAAUCUCAAAGUUACAUGGAAGCCAUUAACCACUCUGUGGUGAUGUCUGACAGCACUGUGGGCACUAAUCCUUCUUUGCUGAGGACCAACAUGCAGAGGGAUCUCCCCUUUCAGCACUGUUUUGCAUCUUCUUGUACUGUUUCAAGUAACAGUCCUAUCCCAGGGGCAGAAAGCUCUUCUGCAACAGAACGUCUUUGGCUUGAAAGCAGCCCUAAAGCUUGCUUAUCACCUCAGUUUUCAACGGGAAACACCAGGCAGCCAGGAGGUUACCUUGUGCCCUCUGAAUUUUCAAAUGCUGUGCAAGAUGUCUCUCUCUUGUCUCAUUUCCAAACUCCAGGACUGCAAGUCGUCACCCUGAGCAACCUGGAGAAUUCACCAGCAGAACCACAGCAAGAACAUGCUAUCAGUAACAGUGCCCGUGCCUACCUGAGCUACAGUGGGGCUGUCAGGGGCAGUAGCUCUCCUGGAGAGGAGACACAAGCUACUUGCAUAGCCAAUGCUAGCACCUCUCCUAAAACCCUGAGCUCAUCAGUGGCAAGUGCUGAGGAGAGUGGCUUUUUGACACAAAACUUUAUUAGAGGGACCUCUGGAGACAAUAGCCAGAACAGUGCAGUUCAGCAGCACCAUGGAGGGAACGUACGUGCUCAACCGCCUCUUCCAGAGAAGAAGAGGUCCUCUGAAGGAGAACGUUUCUUUGCCUCCGUGUCACCUUCUUCAAGUGGCUUCUCUAGCCCUCACAGUGGAAGCACAAUCAGCAUUCCCUUCCCAAACGUCCUCCCAGAUUUCUCAAAGAUGUUAAGCCCUUCCCCAGUGCCAGAAAACACAGCUGAUAAACAUGUGACCGUAAAAUUUGUUCAGGACACAUCCAAAUUCUGGUAUAAACCCGAUAUUUCACGAGAACAAGCCAUUGCUGUUCUCAAGGACAAGGAACCUGGGUCAUUCAUUGUUCGAGACAGUCAUUCUUUCCGGGGAGCCUAUGGACUAGCAAUGAAAGUUGCUACACCACCUCCUUCUGUGCUGCAGUUAAAGAAAGUUGCAGAUUUGUCAAAUGAACUUGUAAGGCAUUUUCUGAUUGAAUGUACUCAGAAGGGGGUACGCUUGAAAGGAUGCCCGAAUGAACCAUAUUUUGGGAGUUUGACAGCUCUGGUGUAUCAGCAUUCCAUCACUCCACUGGCAUUGCCCUGCAAGCUCCUCAUCCCAGACAGAGAUCCCUUGGAGGAUAUAGCAGAAACUUCUCCACAAACUGCUGCAAACUCAGCUGCAGAGCUUCUCAAACAGGGUGCAGCAUGUAAUGUGUGGUACCUGAAUUCAGUGGAGAUGGAAUCCCUCACAGGCUACCAGGCAGUACAGAAAGCUUUGAGCUUGACACUGAUGCAAGAUCCUUCUCCUGUCUCAACCGUUGUCCAUUUCAAGGUGUCUGCACAGGGAAUCACGCUGACAGAUAAUCAAAGAAAACUCUUUUUUCGGCGACAUUAUUCAGUCAAUACUGUUAUUUUCUGUGCUUUGGAUCCACAGGACAGAAAAUGGAUGAAAGAUGGCCUUUCUGCGAAAGUGUUUGGGUUCAUUGCCAGGAAGCAAGGCAGUGCCACAGACAACGUAUGCCACCUCUUUGCAGAGCAUGAUCCAGAGCAACCUGCCAGUGCCAUUGUGAACUUUGUAUCAAAGGUCAUGAUUGGAUCUCAGAAGAAGAUCUGAUGCCUUUCCAUCCUUGAUUCAGAGCUCUUCGCUGACUUCACUGAAGGAAAUCACUGUGAGAGGGAGAAAGGCUAUUCAGCAACAGUCUGAACCUUGUCAUUCCCACUUGUGCAUAGGCACCUGUGCUGUUUUCUGCAACCUUUCACCACCAAGCCUGACAUUUUCUGCAACAAGUUUCACCGCCAAAGGCAUGUCUAAGGCUUAUGCUGCACUCUUUCCUUACAGAGAGGGACAACGCCUUGAUACUGUGCCCGCACAGCUCAGCAAUAAUGGAAACAUCUCUGUGUUAUCCACAGUGUUUUCAGCACAAAUCCAAAUACAUCCCCAUAGGAGCUACUGUGAAGAGAAUUAACUCUACCCCAGCCCAAAACUUUUAUAACUAUUGAAAGGCAUUUAAAAAAUAGUGCAAUCAUCAGGUACAGUCAACAUGGUUUCACAAAAUCCUAUUGAACUAUUUUGCUGUCUUUUUAUGAUGAGGUCACCCGCUUAGUGGAUGAAGGGAAGGUGAUGGAUGUAAUUUUUCUGGAUUUUAGUAAGGCUUUUGAUAUUGUCCUUUCCAGCAUCCUUCAAGACAAGUUGUCCAGUUGUGGAAUGAGCAGGUUCAUGGUGCGCUGGGUGACGAACUGGCUGAAGGGCAUAGCUCAAGUGUUGCAGUAAGUGGGGCUACAUCUGUCUGGUCACUGGUCACCAGUGGCAUUCCUCAGGGCUCAAUUCUAGGGCCAGUUCUGUUCAAUAUGCUUCCCAGUGACUGGAUGCAGGAUUUGAAUGCACCAUUACCAGAUUUGCUGAUGGUAACAAACUGGCAGAUGCUGCUGACUCUCUUGAGAGACAAGAUGCCUUGCAGAGGGAUCUGAAUAUCUUGGAGCAUUGGGCAAUGAUGAAUGGGACUAAAUGUAAUGAGUCCAAAUGCAUCUGGAACACAGUAGCAUGAGGCACAAGUCUAAAUUAGGUGAGGAGUGGCUGGCAGGCAGUCCUGCAGAAAGGGGCCUGGGAGUGCUGGUCGGCAUCUUGCUCAGUAUCAGUCAGCAGUGCGUGCCCGGGCAGCCCAGAGGGCGAAACAUGUCCUGGGAUGCAUCAAACACACCUUCACCAAUCGGUCCAAAGAGUUGAUUAUCCUUCUGUAUUCAGUGUUGGCACCGCCUCACCUUGAGUAUUGUGUGAGACCCACCAUUUAAAAAUUAUGUGAAGGUUCUUGAAUGCAUCCAGAAGAAGGCAACAAAGUUGACAAAGGGACUGGCAGGCAUGUACUCUGAGGAGCAGCUAAGGACACUGGGUUUGUGUAGUUUGGGGGGAAGGAGACUCAGGGUUAACUACACUGCUCUCUACAGCUUCCUGAGGAGGGGAAGUGGAGAGGCAGGUGCUGAUCUGUUCUCCCUGCUACCCAGUGCCAGGACUCUGCCAAUGGCUGAAACCUGCAUCUUUCAGAUUUGACACAAGGAAAUAUUUCUUACCAAGAGGGCCGUCAAACCCUGGAAGAGUGUGAGCGCCCAGAUUUGUAUCUCACUGGGUUAUUUGAUUGUUGGGUCGAAUCAACCGUCUUGUCUGUGUGUAUGUGGUGGAGGGGGGGAGAGGGCCAGGCAUCCAGUAUCAGUGUCCACUAGGUAAGGCCUGCAGCCAACAUGGCUGAGUGCCUGGAAGCCAUGUGGCUGUGGGUGGCAUGUCAAUCAAAAAAGGCCUGUCUGGUAGCCCACCCACACCACACCCCCUGGAGCCUCUGAUUGGCUGCACCACCUCUCUUUCUGGCCUGGAUGCCAUUGAGUGAUCAGUGAGCUGGAUGUCCUGCCUGGCAGGGGUGGCCACAUUGAAUAGGGGACAAAAAUAGAGGUGCAGAGGGCCUCUGUGUUGGCCUGCCUUCUCUCGUGGGACCUGCUGUCAAGUGACCUCUGGUGGUAGCACAAGUUUCUUCUGCUAACCUCUUUCUUUACUUCUUUCUUCUUUUAAUCUCUUUCUUUCUUUACUCUUUUCUUUCGUAAUCUCUUGUGGGUAACUUAAAACUGAUGGGUUGUAUUUCAUUAAAAAUUGUGGUAGUUGUGUGUUGGGUGCUUUAGUUAAAUACUUCUCCUUGCUUGUAUUUUACUCCUGUAAAACCUUUUGCCAAAAUGCUUAUUUUCUCACUAAAUUAAAAGAAAUCUCUUGGGAAAA